AAGUCGUAACAAGGUUUCCGUAGGUGAACCUGCGGAAGGAUCAUUACAACGUCCAAACGACAAACCAAUCGUGAACUUAGUACCCUUUGGACUAAAGGCAGACUGGAUGUAAACCCUUGUGAUGAAGGCGUCUCGGCGUCUUGGGUUGAUCCGAUCGCAGCAUUUCGGUGCUGACUUUGGCUUCCGAAGCGGUUUAUCUACAUCACUUCUAACAUUACUAAACCCUUUAACACUUUUGAACUGACUUGUUGUUAAUGCGGUGCUCCUCGCGAGUACUACUUAACAAUUGAUUACGUAAAUUACGAACAACUCUUAACAACGGAUAUCUUGGUUCUC
rnacentral:misc_RNA from 1 species